rnacentral:sRNA from 1 species
CCCACGCCGACGCAAAGCUGCAAUCAAGAAACGAGUCUGAACGAACAACGAACAAGAACGCUGAUUGUGCACGCAGCGUGUGUCUACUGCUGGGUGUUGUUAUUAAUUACCGAGUACUCUGAUUUUUACCAAGCCUCGCUUAUUUCGUUGUUGAGAAAUGAUCAGUUGGCUGUUAUAUCGUAUUCACCUGGGUUUUUUUUUAUAUACGGAUAUAUAUAAAUGUUUUUAUCGUCCUCCGAUGCCCAUGGCCAGAUGGAGAGGUAAUAUGGCUGGCUAUGUUAUAGAUAAUUUUUUUUCUUCGGAUA